UGGUGCCCUAGUGGCUGAGCUACAGGCGCCGAGCCUAAAAGCACUGCUUUUGGGUGAAGUGGCAGCAUUUUGUGUUGUUUUACUUUAAUUGGUGGUGUAACAAGA
rnacentral:snoRNA from 1 species